UUAAGCGACUAAGCGUACACGGUGGAUGCCCUGGCAGUCAGAGGCGAUGAAGGACGUGCUAAUCUGCGAUAAGCGUCGGUAAGGUGAUAUGAACCGUUAUAACCGGCGAUUUCCGAAUGGGGAAACCCAGUGUGUUUCGACACACUAUCAUUAACUGAAUCCAUAGGUUAAUGAGGCGAACCGGGGGAACUGAAACAUCUAAGUACCCCGAGGAAAAGAAAUCAACCGAGAUUCCCCCAGUAGCGGCGAGCGAACGGGGAGCAGCCCAGAGCCUGAAUCAGUGUGUGUGUUAGUGGAAGCGUCUGGAAAGGCGCGCGAUACAGGGUGACAGCCCCGUACACAAAAAUGCACAUGCUGUGAGCUCGAUGAGUAGGGCGGGACACGUGGUAUCCUGUCUGAAUAUGGGGGGACCAUCCUCCAAGGCUAAAUACUCCUGACUGACCGAUAGUGAACCAGUACCGUGAGGGAAAGGCGAAAAGAACCCCGGCGAGGGGAGUGAAAAAGAACCUGAAACCGUGUACGUACAAGCAGUGGGAGCCUCUUUAUGGGGUGACUGCGUACCUUUUGUAUAAUGGGUCAGCGACUUAUAUUCUGUAGCAAGGUUAACCGAAUAGGGGAGCCGAAGGGAAACCGAGUCUUAACUGGGCGUUAAGUUGCAGGGUAUAGACCCGAAACCCGGUGAUCUAGCCAUGGGCAGGUUGAAGGUUGGGUAACACUAACUGGAGGACCGAACCGACUAAUGUUGAAAAAUUAGCGGAUGACUUGUGGCUGGGGGUGAAAGGCCAAUCAAACCGGGAGAUAGCUGGUUCUCCCCGAAAGCUAUUUAGGUAGCGCCUCGUGAAUUCAUCUCCGGGGGUAGAGCACUGUUUCGGCAAGGGGGUCAUCCCGACUUACCAACCCGAUGCAAACUGCGAAUACCGGAGAAUGUUAUCACGGGAGACACACGGCGGGUGCUAACGUCCGUCGUGAAGAGGGAAACAACCCAGACCGCCAGCUAAGGUCCCAAAGUCAUGGUUAAGUGGGAAACGAUGUGGGAAGGCCCAGACAGCCAGGAUGUUGGCUUAGAAGCAGCCAUCAUUUAAAGAAAGCGUAAUAGCUCACUGGUCGAGUCGGCCUGCGCGGAAGAUGUAACGGGGCUAAACCAUGCACCGAAGCUGCGGCAGCGACGCUUAUGCGUUGUUGGGUAGGGGAGCGUUCUGUAAGCCUGCGAAGGUGUGCUGUGAGGCAUGCUGGAGGUAUCAGAAGUGCGAAUGCUGACAUAAGUAACGAUAAAGCGGGUGAAAAGCCCGCUCGCCGGAAGACCAAGGGUUCCUGUCCAACGUUAAUCGGGGCAGGGUGAGUCGACCCCUAAGGCGAGGCCGAAAGGCGUAGUCGAUGGGAAACAGGUUAAUAUUCCUGUACUUGGUGUUACUGCGAAGGGGGGACGGAGAAGGCUAUGUUGGCCGGGCGACGGUUGUCCCGGUUUAAGCGUGUAGGCUGGUUUUCCAGGCAAAUCCGGAAAAUCAAGGCUGAGGCGUGAUGACGAGGCACUACGGUGCUGAAGCAACAAAUGCCCUGCUUCCAGGAAAAGCCUCUAAGCAUCAGGUAACAUCAAAUCGUACCCCAAACCGACACAGGUGGUCAGGUAGAGAAUACCAAGGCGCUUGAGAGAACUCGGGUGAAGGAACUAGGCAAAAUGGUGCCGUAACUUCGGGAGAAGGCACGCUGAUAUGUAGGUGAAGCGACUUGCUCGUGGAGCUGAAAUCAGUCGAAGAUACCAGCUGGCUGCAACUGUUUAUUAAAAACACAGCACUGUGCAAACACGAAAGUGGACGUAUACGGUGUGACGCCUGCCCGGUGCCGGAAGGUUAAUUGAUGGGGUUAGCGGUAACGCGAAGCUCUUGAUCGAAGCCCCGGUAAACGGCGGCCGUAACUAUAACGGUCCUAAGGUAGCGAAAUUCCUUGUCGGGUAAGUUCCGACCUGCACGAAUGGCGUAAUGAUGGCCAGGCUGUCUCCACCCGAGACUCAGUGAAAUUGAACUCGCUGUGAAGAUGCAGUGUACCCGCGGCAAGACGGAAAGACCCCGUGAACCUUUACUAUAGCUUGACACUGAACAUUGAGCCUUGAUGUGUAGGAUAGGUGGGAGGCUUUGAAGUGUGGACGCCAGUCUGCAUGGAGCCGGCCUUGAAAUACCACCCUUUAAUGUUUGAUGUUCUAACGUUGGCCCCUGAUCGGGGUUGCGGACAGUGUCUGGUGGGUAGUUUGACUGGGGCGGUCUCCUCCUAAAGAGUAACGGAGGAGCACGAAGGUUGGCUAAUCCUGGUCGGACAUCAGGAGGUUAGUGCAAUGGCAUAAGCCAGCUUGACUGCGAGCGUGACGGCGCGAGCAGGUGCGAAAGCAGGUCAUAGUGAUCCGGUGGUUCUGAAUGGAAGGGCCAUCGCUCAACGGAUAAAAGGUACUCCGGGGAUAACAGGCUGAUACCGCCCAAGAGUUCAUAUCGACGGCGGUGUUUGGCACCUCGAUGUCGGCUCAUCACAUCCUGGGGCUGAAGUAGGUCCCAAGGGUAUGGCUGUUCGCCAUUUAAAGUGGUACGCGAGCUGGGUUUAGAACGUCGUGAGACAGUUCGGUCCCUAUCUGCCGUGGGCGCUGGAGAACUGAGGGGGGCUGCUCCUAGUACGAGAGGACCGGAGUGGACGCAUCACUGGUGUUCGGGUUGUCAUGCCAAUGGCACUGCCCGGUAGCUAAAUGCGGAAGAGAUAAGUGCUGAAAGCAUCUAAGCACGAAACUUGCCCCGAGAUGAGUUCUCCCUGAGACUUUAAGUCUCCUGAAGGAACGUUGAAGACGACGACGUUGAUAGGCCGGGUGUGUAAGCGCAGCGAUGCGUUGAGCUAACCGGUACUAAUGAACCGUGAGGCUUAACCUU
rnacentral:rRNA from 1 species